UACGAAGGGGGCUAGCGUUGCUCGGAAUCACUGGGCGUAAAGCGCACGUAGGCGGAUUCCUAAGUCGGUGGUGAAAUCCUGGAGCUCAACUCCAGAACUGCCUUCGAUACUGGAAAGCUCGAGUCCGGGAGAGGUGAGUGGAACUGCGAGUGUAGAGGUGAAAUUCGUAGAUAUUCGCAAGAACACCAGUGGCGAAGGCGGCUCACUGGCCCGGUACUGACGCUGAGGUGCGAAAGCGUGGGGAGCAAACAGG
rnacentral:rRNA from 1 species